AUGGAGAGAUGGUGCAAGUACAUCCACGCCAAGGACCGCACAGACCGGAUCCGCAUAUGCGCCAUCCUCUGCCGCAUCUACCACCAUGCUCUGCGCUCCCGCUGGUACCAGGCCCGCGACCUCAUGCUCAUGAGCCACCUGCAGGGCAACAUUCAGCACGCGGACCCGCCACUGUGGAACCUUCACAACCGCACAACGGUGCAGCUGGGCACCUGUGCCCUCCGCCAAGGCCUCACCAAGGACGCGCACAACGCCCUGCUGGAUAUCCAGUCCAGCGGCCGGGCCAAGGAGCUUCCGGGCCAGGCCCUGCUGCUGUGCAGCCUGCAGGAGCGCAACCAGGAGCAGGAGAAGGUGGAGCGGCGCUGGCAGGUCCCCCUUCCACCUGCACAUCAACCUGCAGCUGCUGGGGUGUGUCUACCUGGUGUCUGCCAUGCUCCUGCAGAUCCCCUACAUGGCCGCACAUGAGAGCGAUGCCCACUGACGCAUGAUCAGCAAGCAGUUCCACCACCAGCUACGCGUGGGCGAGUGGCAGCCCCUGCUGGGUCCCCCUGAGUCCAUAAGGGAACCUGUGGUUGCUGCCUCUAAGGCCAUGAAGAUGGGUGACUGGAAGACCUGCCAGUUUCAUCAUCAAUGAGAAGAUGAAUAAGAAAGUGUGGGACCUUUUCCCCAAGGCUGACAAAGUGCGCACCAUGCUGGUUAGGAAGAUCCUGGAAGAGUCACCGAGGACCCACCUCUUCACCUACAGCAGUGUCUACGACUCCGUCAGCACGGAGACGCUGUCACACAUGUUCGAGCUGGAUCUGCCCACGGUGCACUCCAUCGUCAGCAAGAUGAUCAUUAAUGAGGAGCUAAUGGCCUCUCUGGACCAGCCGAUGCCGACAGUGGCGACGCGCCGCACAGAGCCCACUGCCCAGCAGAACCUGGCUCUGCAGCCGGCUGAGAAGCUGGGACGCCUGGUGGAGAACAACGAGCGGGUGUUUGACCACAAGCAGGGCACCUACGGCGGCUACUUCCGAGACCAGAAGGACGGCUACCGCAAAAACGAGGGCUACAUGCGCCGCGGCGGCUACCGCCAGCACCAGUCCCAACGGCCUGCUGAGCUCCCCACUGUCUCUGCGCCUAGACCAUCCAACCUUGAAGUCCUAAACCACACCCCAGUUAUUAAAGGUCUAUUUAAAGUCGGGAAAAAAAAAAAAAAGAGAGGACAGUCUUGUGAGACUCAGCCACUCAGCUGCAGAAGUAAUAUUCUCUCCAGGGAAGCAGUGUCAACACUGCGCUAA